rnacentral:rRNA from 1 species
CAGUCGCCGCGGUAAAACGGAGGAUCCGAGCGUUAUCCGGAAUUAUUGGGUUUAAAGGGUGCGUAGGCGGAUAGAUAAGUCAGUGGUGAAAGACGGUGGCUCAACCAUCGCAGUGCCGUUGAUACUGUUUAUCUUGAAUAUGGAUGAGGUAGGCGGAAUGUGGCAAGUAGCGGUGAAAUGCAUAGAUAUGCCACAGAACACCGAUUGCGAAGGCAGCUUACCAAGGCAAAAUUGACGCUGAGGCACGAAAGCGUGGGGAUCGAACAGGAUUAGAGACCCCUGUAGUCCCUGUCUCUUAUAC